GUCUAUGGCUAUACCACCCUGAAUACACCUGAUCCCAUCUGAUCUCAGAGGGUAAGCAGGGUCAGGCCUGGUUUGUACUUGGAUGGGAGACUGCUUGGGAAUGCUAAGUGCUGUAGCGU
rnacentral:rRNA from 1 species